AUUGAACGCUGGCGGCAGGCCUAACACAUGCAAGUCGAGCGAGCGGCGGACGGGUGAGUAAUGUCUGGGGACUGCCCGAUAGAGGGGGAUAACUACUGGAAACGGUGGCUAAUACCGCAUACUAUCGGAUAACCCAUAUGGGAUUAGCUAGUAGGUGGGGUAAAGGCUCACCUAGGCGACGAUCUCUAGCUGGUCUGAGAGGAUGAUCAGCCAAACGGGGACGGGAACAGGGCCCAGACUCCUAGGGAGGAAGAGGGGGGAAAUUUUGCACAAUGGGGGAAAGCCGGAGGCAGCCAGGCCGGGUGUAUGAAGAGGGCCUUAGGGUUGUAAAGUACUUUCAGCGGGGAGGCGUUACCCGCAGAAGAAGCACCGGCUAACUCCGUGCCAGCAGCGGCGGUAAUU
rnacentral:rRNA from 1 species